UACGGAGGGUGCAAGCGUUGUCCGGAUUUAUUGGGUUUAAAGGGUGCGUAGGCGGUCUUUUAAGUCAGUGGUGAAACCCUCCAGCUCAACUGGAGAACUGCCAUUGAUACUGGAAGACUUGAGUAUAGUUGAGGUAGGCGGAAUUGACAGUGUAGCGGUGAAAUGCAUAGAUAUUGUCAAGAACCCCGAUUGCGAAGGCAGCUUACUAAACUAUAACUGACGCUGAGGCACGAAAGUGUGGGGAUCAAACAGG
rnacentral:rRNA from 1 species